rnacentral:rRNA from 1 species
UACAGAGGUCUCAAGCGUUGUUCGGAUUCAUUGGGCGUAAAGGGUGUGUAGGUGGCGCGCUAAGUCGGGUGUGAAAUUUCGGAGCUUAACUCCGAAACUGCAUUCGAUACUGGCGUGCUUGAGGACUGGAGAGGAGACUGGAAUUCAUGGUGUAGCAGUGAAAUGCGUAGAGAUCGUGAGGAAGACCAGUGGCGAAGGCGGGUCUCUGGACAGUUACUGACACUGAGACACGAAGGCCAGGGGAGCAAACGGG